rnacentral:rRNA from 1 species
GAUCCUGGCUCAGGAUGAACGCUAGCUACAGGCUUAACACAUGCAAGUCGAGGGGCAGCGGGAUUUGAAGCUUGCUUCAAUUGCCGGUCGACCGGCGCACGGGUGAGUAACGCGUAUCCAACCUUCCGUACACUCAGGGAUAGCCUUUCGAAAGAAAGAUUAAUACCUGAUGGUAUGAUGAGAUUGCAUGAUAGCAUCAUUAAAGAUUUAUCGGUGUACGAUGGGGAUGCG